rnacentral:rRNA from 1 species
UACGAAGGGGGCUAGCGUUGCUCGGAAUCACUGGGCGUAAAGCGCGCGUAGGCGGGUUCUUAAGUCAGAGGUGAAAUCCCGGAGCUCAACUCCAGAACUGCCUUUGAUACUGAGAGUCUUGAGUUCGGGAGAGGUGAGUGGAACUGCGAGUGUAGAGGUGAAAUUCGUAGAUAUUCGCAAGAACACCAGUGGCGAAGGCGGCUCACUGGCCCGGUACUGACGCUGAGGCACGAAAGCGUGGGGAGCAAACAGG